AGUGAUGUUUGUUUAAAUGUGUGUACACAUUUACAGAGCAGGUAAAGGAGUUGAGACAGGAGGCCAUCCGACAGGAAGACCAACUGAGGGAAGUGCGGAAAAACGGCACCAAUUUGGAAAAGAAGCUGGAAUAUGAGAGCUUGCAGUGUGGCCGACAAAUAGCUGAGCUGAAGGCAGAAUAUGAAGAGAGCAAGAAAAGAGUAGAAGAAGAGGCAGCAAAACUCAGACAGAGUUUAUUAGAGAAUCGUAAAGUGGAUACAGGGGGUCGGCAGGUGGAGGUGGAUCUUGAUCAGUCCAUCAAAAGAAAAGAGGAGGACACUGCAGAGCGCCACACAGUGGCUG